GACGAACGCUGGCGGCGUGCUUAACACAUGCAAGUCGAACGGAAAGGCCCUGCUUUUGUGGGGUGCUCGAGUGGCGAACGGGUGAGUAACACGUGAGUAACCUGCCCUUGACUUUGGGAUAACUUCAGGAAACUGGGGCUAAUACCGGAUAGGAGCUCCUGCUGCAUGGUGGGGGUUGGAAAGUUUCGGCGGUUGGGGAUGGACUCGCGGCUUAUCAGCUUGUUGGUGGGGUAGUGGCUUACCAAGGCUUUGACGGGUAGCCGGCCUGAGAGGGUGACCGGCCACAUUGGGACUGAGAUACGGCCCAGACUCCUACGGGAGGCAGCAGUGGGGAAUAUUGCGCAAUGGGCGGAAGCCAGAUGCAGCAACGCCGCGUGCGGGAUGACGGCCUUCGGGUUGUAAACCGCUUUCGCCUGUGACGAAGCGUGAUUGACGGUAAUGGGUAAAGAAGCACCGGCUAACUACGUG
rnacentral:rRNA from 1 species